rnacentral:rRNA from 1 species
UACAGGGGGUGCAAACGUUGCUCGGAAUCAUUGGGCGUAAAGCGCACGUAGGCGGUUCGUUAUGUCGGAUGUGAAAGCCCUUGGCUUAACCGAGGAAGUGCAUCCGAAACUGGCGAGCUAGAGUACUAAAGAGGAUCGCGGAAUUCCCGGUGUAGAGGUGAAAUUCGUAGAUAUCAGGAGGAACACCGGUGGCGAAGGCGGGUCUCUGGGCCGUAACUGACGCUGAGGAGCGAAAGCAUGGGGAGCGAACAGG